GACGAACGCUGGCGGCGUGCCUAAUACAUGCAAGUCGAGCGGAAUGAAGAAGAAGCUUGCUUCUUCUGAUUUUAGCGGCGGACGGGUGAGUAACACGUGGGCAACCUACCUUGUAGAUUGGGAUAACUCCGGGAAACCGGGGCUAAUACCGAAUAAUCCAUUUUGCUUCAUGGCGAGAUGUUGAAAGACGGUUUCGGCUGUCACUAUAAGAUGGGCCCGCGGCGCAUUAGCUAGUUGGUAGGGUAAUGGCCUACCAAGGCGACGAUGCGUAGCCGACCUGAGAGGGUGAUCGGCCACACUGGGACUGAGACACGGCCCAGACUCCUACGGGAGGCAGCAGUAGGGAAUCUUCCACAAUGGACGAAAGUCUGAUGGAGCAACGCCGCGUGAGUGAAGAAGGUUUUCGGAUCGUAAAACUCUGUUGUAAGGGAAGAACACGUACGAGAGUAACUGCUCGUACCUUGACGGUACCUUAUUAGAAAGCCACGGCUAACUACGUG
rnacentral:rRNA from 1 species